CUCUUAUUCAGAGUGGUGGAGGUACAUAGGACCUAUGAAGCCACGGCAACCCCUAUAAGGAAGGUGCCUACCUGAGCGAGCAGCGAGCCUAACGGCGAUCGAACAAUAAGAG
rnacentral:ncRNA from 2 species